rnacentral:rRNA from 1 species
CAGCCGCCGCGGUAAUACGAAGGGGGCUAGCGUUGUUCGGAUUUACUGGGCGUAAAGGGCGCGUAGGCGGACUGAUAAGUCAGGGGUGAAAUCCCAAGGCUCAACCUUGGAACUGCCUUUGAUACUGUUUGUCUUGAGUUCGAGAGAGGUAAGUGGAACUGCGAGUGUAGAGGUGAAAUUCGUAGAUAUUCGCAAGAACACCAGUGGCGAAGGCGGCUUACUGGCUCGAUACUGACGCUGAGGCGCGAAAGCGUGGGGAGCAAACAGGAUUAGAUACCCCGGUAGUCCCUGUCUCUUAUAC